GACUCUCGGCAACGGAUAUCUCGGCUCUGGCAUCGAUGAAGAACGUAGCGAAAUGCGAUACCUGGUGUGAAUUGCAGAAUCCCGCGAACCAUCGAGUCUUUGAACGCACGUUGCGCCCGAGGCCACUCGGCCGAGGGCACGCCUGCCUGGGCAUCA
rnacentral:rRNA from 1 species